CUCCGCCUCGCCCCGAGCGCAGGGGUCCGUCGGCCCCAGCCCCGGAGGGUUUGUUGUCUCUGUGCUUCUCGCCUGGUGAAAGCGUUUGGAGAAGCUCUGGAGCUUUCGAGUAGGGGCUCACCCUGUGCACGGUACUCACACAUAUAAUUCAAAUUUCACAGCUGACCUGCUCUGAAAACCUCAAUCAGCUUCUAAUUGAAGGGAAAACAAAAUAUUGCUUCCCUACAGCAGAGCUAACGAUUUAAUCAUUAUAUCAGACAUUAUAGCUUUUAAUUAGGCUAAUGCUGAUACUGUAUGGAAAGAGAUAAUUCAACGCAGUUCUUGAUGAAUUCUGUAAUUGGGUUAACGGAGGAGCAGUCGGGGGAAGAGACGUCAAUAUUCAAGCCGCGUCUGUAGCCAUCGCCUUGUGAAUGGAAGGGAAAGGGAAAGGGAACGCGAGGUUGGGGAGGGUGGGGGACGCAGACGGGGCGAAGCCCCCCGAUGGGCUCUGUCCCCACGUCGCGCCCUGCAGAGCCGCGGCAGCCAACGGGAAGCGCGAUACCGGCCAUCCUGUUAUUGUAAAUGAGAUGAGCUACACGGGCUGCCACGUAAAUGUGACAUGAGGCUCGCAGGAGAGCGAAGCAUCACCCACUCCAAUCUCUCCUUUCAUCGGAACGUCCCCCAGAAAUUACAUCUUCUCCUCCUUUAAUACACUUCGCAAUGAGAUUAAAACAUCACCUUGACACCGUUUCCGACCUUUUUGGUCGCAUCCAGUACUGACUCCAGAACACAGCAAACGGGGAAAACUGGGAACAUCUCAAUAACCCUGGACUGCUCCUCUGGAAGCCGAGAGUGCCCGGAGGACAUAAGUGAUCCUCUUGCUCCAUCCAGCGCAGCGCUGUGGCCAUGGGAAGCGUGAAACGAAUCCCGGGCGGGCAAAUGGGGAAAUCCCAUUCCAUUCCCAGUGGCAGCACUGAGCUGCCGGGCUGGGCCGGGCCGUGGGGUUCAGAGGUGAUGUUCACGGCGGGGUUUUUCACGAACUCACCAGCCUCUGCCUCUCGUCACCUGUACGCCGUCACUAUGAGGUGUUACAGUAACACCACCUCCGAUACGGGCAGCAAAGGGACAUCUCACAGCGCUGUCACCGCUGCCCCACGCUCUGCUGGCGACGUGCGCAGGGCACAGCCUAUUCCCAGAGCGUCCCGAUUAGGGCACACCGCACAGAUUCCGCGCUAUGCAAAGCUGCGUAGAGGGGAUCCCUCCGGCCCCAGUUUUGCCCGUCCUAUGGGUUCGGUGGGAGAGAACCGGGCUUGCGGCACUGCGGUCUGGGGACAGUUUGUACCUCCCCGUCCGCCCCUCCGCACACACAAGCGCACAGCCGCGCACCCCUUAACAAAGAGUCUUUCAAAGCGCAACCUUUGAUGGCAGUCCGCGGGAAUCAAUGCGAUAAAACGGGUUUUUAAUGGGUUAAUUGACUGGAGCCGCUAUCAUGUUUUAACACCUGUUUCUGAAAAGAGAUGCAGCCAAAAGCCGUCCCCUCCCUGAUCGAUAGGUGCACAGCCCCUCUCCGCUGCCUGUUGAUCGACCCCGAAAACCACCAGGAAACCAGAGAGAAAGAACCCGGGUCGUCUUCAUGCACCCUAUAUGGGACGCAGGAGCACCCCUUGUCGGGCAGGGGCACAGCCCCACUCGCACCUCCCAUACCUCGACGCCAUCAGCCGCGAAACCACUGUCACUGCCACCCCCACGGGGCACCGCAGCGGGGUUCCCCGCUCCCUGGCAUGAUUCAGGCGCACUGGCGACGCUGAGAGCUCCUCCGCCUGCUCGCUCCGACGGGCACCGGUAUAACAGCACGGUGUGCCCUGCCCAUUGAUUCCCCUGUUUGGCAGCGCCCGUUGGUCAGCCGCAGAGAUGCUGACGCUUUGCUCCGAACACCUCUGGCUUAAUGACACCGCGCACAGCCGUGUCUGUUCGGAACGAGCCCCGCCACCCCCGGCCCGGCUGCGACCCCCUGCCCCGAGCCCCGGAGGGGGGCACCGCCACCCCGUAUUACCACCGACUGCGGUGAUGCGGGCUGCUCUUCCCUCCCCGCUGCGAAGGGAGCUCGGAAGCCCUCCCAUCGCAGACUCCCCCUCCUUCCACCCUUCCCAAGAAGGGCCGAAGACCCCCUCAAAAGUUAGAGGCACACUUACAGUUGCUCUUCCAGCUCCAGCCUCCUCCCAACAGCUCAGCUCAAAGGGCAGCUUUAUUAUCAUCAUUAUUACUAUUUUUAAUUCUUUUUUUCCCCCCUCUCUCACGCCUUCUCCCGGCCCAGCCGAGGCCAUGGGGCCGGGCCCUGCGGUCUGCUCUCCCGCAGCUCCCGGGCGGCCGCGGUGCCCCGCGGCACACGCACAACCCCCGGCAGAGCUCUCCCUCUCCCUCUCUCUCCGCCGCACACACGCACACACACACACACACACACACACACACACAUACACACUGUGCACGGGAGAGGGGGAGAGAGGGAGACGGAGAGAGAGAGAGAGGAUAAAAUGAAAUUUAUUAUUGAUAGCAAAGACUUUACAGACAAUUUCCAGUUAUUGUUUCGCUCCGGAGAGAAAAGGAAAAAAAAAAAAAAAAAAAAAAAAAAAGAAAAAAAAAAAAGAGGGGCUUUUCUCCCCAACCCACAUAAUGGAACGCUUUUGUGUGGCGCAGAACAAUACCAAACAAGUAUUCUAAUAAAUAGCCACUUUUUUGUUCCGUGCCGGCGGUGAAUGGAACUGAGCAGUUGGUUCGGGAGCAGCUGGAGCCGGGCGGGGGGGGGGAAGGGGGGGAGCGCCGCUGCCUCCCCUCUGCCUUCCCUCUCCCUGCACCUCCCUCUCCCCUUCCCCACCCCUCCCCGGGGAAGCGAUGCUCACGCAAAGGAAUGGAGAAGAGCCCCCCAGGUUCCGCUCCAUGCACCUGUCCCUCCUGGUCCUGCCCUCCCGUCCCCCCCAUGUAGACCCUCCUUUGCGGAAAAUAAAGUUAGGUUUCCCUUCGGGAUGGAGCCUCUUUGUCAGCCCCUCUUCUCUACCCGUACCUCUCCCUUGACAGAGCACCGCCGGUGUGCCUCCCUCCGUACCCCCCUUUCCCCCCCCCCAUUACUAUUUCUCAAUCCCUUUCUAUCAGCGUGACAACCGCUGGGGGAAAGGCAGUCGGGAGCGGUGAUUAAAAUGGACACAAAUCCGCUAAAGACUUCCAGCCCUCCUUUAGAUUCUGAAAGACUGCUAUCAGGUCACCCUGGAGCCUUCUCUUCACCAGGCUGAACAGCCCCAGAUCUCUCAGCUUGUUCUCACAUGGGAGGUGUUUCAUCUCUUGAAUCAUUUUUGUGGCACUCCUCUGCAUGUGCUCCAACAGGUAAACUCCAUGCAGAAAUGUACACCGAUGCCCCUUGUUCCAUCUUCCAGUUACAAGAAGGAAAAUAUGUGCAAAGAAGUUAGAUGCCCUAUGAGGCAUUCUGCGUUUGCUAAUGAUUUAUUUUUUAAUGUUUGUUUGAAGUGAAGACAUCGUGAAAAUAAAUGAUAAGGCUCUUCUCGCACUUUUAUAAAAAGUAAAUGUAAAAUGUUUCUGACUCCUCCAAGCAGCCACAAGUGGUCAGCUUGGGAUGCUUGUUAUCCAGAGUAGAGAAAGACAUCUUAUCUGAAGUCAGGACAUUCUUAACCUCCACUUCUACUUCCUCCAGUAUUCCUCCCCAUAACAUGGUUUAUGUGUUAAGCUCUGCAUCACUCCCUGCAGACAUGGGUGUGUGUGGAGAAUCCUUAGGAGUCCCUUGCAGUGAAUGCCUAUUUUCUGUCAGCCUGGCUUGGAAAGAUGUCAAAAGGUUUUCUUAUGAGGAUCAGUGGCACACUGUAGAGAUCACAAAGAACACAGCUCAGGUAACAGACAGAAAAAACUUAAGUGUUUUUAGUUUGGUGUAUGAGUGUAGUAAAUCUUGCAAAUAUGUUUUGAAAUUAAGUACUGCAAUUUUUGUCUAAACAUAUUAAAGGGGCAUUUUCCUCUUA